GCGUUGCCUCGCAUAUCUCCUAGUACAAUGUUGCCAACACGGUAGACUCCUAACAAAGUUCGCCAGCUACUCUAAAAUCAACGAGUUUCAGUAGCCACCUUAGAUGUAUGAGGUUUCAUGACAAGUCCGGCAUCAGAUAACCUCCAAUCAUAUUAAGGAUGUAUGCCCGAGCAUAUCGUAUUCUUUCUACUUCAGUCGAAUCAUUCCCCAACUC
rnacentral:lncRNA from 1 species